rnacentral:rRNA from 1 species
UAACAAGGAUUCCCCUAGUAACUGCGAGUGAAGCGGGAUGAGCUCAAAUUUAAAAUCUGUCAGCUUGCGCUGUCCGAGUUGUAAUCUAGAGAAGCAUUUUCUGUGAUGGACCGUGUACAAGUUUCUUGGAAUAGAACUUCAUAGAGGGUGAGAAUCCCGUCCAUGACACGGACUACCGUUACUUUGUGAUAUGCUCUCAAAGAGUCGAGUUGUUUGGGAAUGCAGCUCAAAAUGGGUGGUAAGUUCCAUCUAAAGCUAAAUAUUGGCGAGAGACCGAUAGCGAACAAGUACCGUGAGGGAAAGAUGAAAAGCACUUUGGAAAGAGAGUUAAACAGUACGUGAAAUUGUUGAAAGGGAAACGCUUGAAGUCAGUCGCGUUGCUUAGGACUCAGCCUUGCUUUUGCUUGGUGUACUUCCUAUGUAAUGGGUCAACAUCAAUUUUGGUUGGUGGAUAAAGAUUGAAGGAAUGUGGCAUCUUAGGAUGUGUUAUAGCCUUCUUUCGUAUACACUGGCUGGGAUUGAGGUCUGCAGCAUGCCUUUAUGGCCGGGGUUCGCCCACGUAUCAUGCUUAGGAUGUUGGCAUAAUGGCUUUAAGCGAC